GUAACGGGAGGCAGCAGGGGGAAGUAUUGCACAAUGGGCGAAAGCCUGAUGCAGCUAUGCCGCGUGUAUGAAGAAGGCCUUAGGGUUGUAAAGUACUUUCAUCGGGGAGGAAAAACAAAACUAAUAAUUUUAUUUCUUGACGUUACCCGAAAAAGAAGCACCGGCUAACUCCGUGCCAGCAGCCGCGGUAAUACGGAGGGUGCUAGCGUUAAUCAGAAUUACUGGGCGUAAAGAGCACGUAGGUGGUUUUUUAAGUCAGAUGUGAAAUCCCUGGGCUUAACCUAGGAACUGCAUUUUGAAACUGAAAUACUAGAGUAUCGUAGAGGGAGGUAGAAUUCUAGGUGUAGCGGUGAAAUGCGUAGAUAUCUGGAGGAAUACCUGUGGCGAAAGCGGCCUCCUAAACGAAUACUGACACUGAGGGUGCGAAAGCGUGGGGAGCAAACAGGGAUUAGAUACC
rnacentral:rRNA from 1 species